rnacentral:rRNA from 1 species
GGAUAGGUCUGCGGCUGAUUAGGUCGUUGGUGGGGUAAUGGCCCACCAAGCCGAUGAUCGGUACGGGUUGUGAGAGCAAGGGCCCGGAGAUGGAACCUGAGACAAGGUUCCAGACCCUACGGGGUGCAGCAGGCGCGAAACCUCCGCAAUGUACGAAAGUGCGACGGGGGGAUCCCAAGUGUUAUGCUUUUUUGUAUGACUUUUCAUUAGUGUAAAAAGCUUUUAGAAUAAGAGCUGGGCAAGACCGGUGCCAGCCGCCGCGGUAACACCGGCAGCUCGAGUGGUAGCUGUUUUUAUUGGGCCUAAAGCGUUCGUAGCCGGUUUGAUAAGUCUUUGGUGAAAGCUUGUAGCUUAACUAUAAGAAUUGCUGGAGAUACUAUUAGACUUGAAGUCGGGAGAGGUUAGAGGUACUACCGGGGUAGGGGUGAAAUCCUAUAAUCCUGGGAGGACCACCUGUGGCGAAGGCGUCUAACUGGAACGAUCUUGACGGUGAGUAACGAAAGCCAGGGGCGCGAACCGGAUUAGAUACCCGGGUAGUCCUGGCCGUAAACGAUGUGGACUUGGUGUUGGAAUGGCUUUGAGUUGUUCCGGUGCCGAAGGGAAGCUGUUAAGUCCACCGCCUGGGAAGUACGGUCGCAAGACUGAAACUUAA